AAAUUGAAGAGUUUGAUCAUGGCUCAGAUUGAACGCUGGCGGCAGGCCUAACACAUGCAAGUCGAACGGUAACAGGAAGCAGCUUGCUGCUUUGCUGACGAGUGGCGGACGGGUGAGUAAUGUCUGGGAAACUGCCUGAUGGAGGGGGAUAACUACUGGAAACGGUGGCUAAUACCGCAUAACGUCGCAAGACCAAAGAGGGGGACCUUCGGGCCUCUUGCCAUCAGAUGUGCCCAGAUGGGAU
rnacentral:rRNA from 10 species